AUUGAACGCUGGAGGCAGGCUUAACACAUGCAAGUCGAGCUAGGGGCGGACGGGUGAGUAAUUUCUGGGAAACGGCCUGAUGGAGGGGGAUGACUAGUGGAACCGGUAGCUAAUACCGCAUACCAUCAGAUGUGCCCCGUUGGGAUUAGCUAGUGGGUGGGGGAAUGGCUCACCUAGGCGACGAUCCCGAGCUGGUAUGAGAGGAUGACCAGCCACACGGGAACUGAGACACGGUCCAGACUCCUACGGGAGGCAGCAGUGGGGAAUAUUGCACAAUGGGCGCAAGCCUGAUGCAGCCAUGCCGGGUGUGUGAAGAAGGCCUUCGGGUUGUAAAGCACUUGCAGCGAGGAGGCGUUACUCGCAGAAGAAGCACCGGCUAACUCCGUGCCAGCAGCCGCGGUAAUAC
rnacentral:rRNA from 1 species